UACAGAGGUCCCGAGCGUUGUUCGGAUUCACUGGGCGUAAAGGGUGCGCAGGUGGGUUUGCAAGUUCGAUGUGAAAGCCCCGGGCUUAACCCGGGAAUGGCAUUGGAUACUGCAGAUCUGGAGGAUCGGAGGGGGGACUGGAAUUCUUGGUGUAGCAGUGAAAUGCGCAGAUAUCAGGAGGAACACCAACAGCGAAGGCAGAUCUCUGGGACGUAACUGACGCUGAGACGCGAAAGCGUGGGGAGCAAACAGG
rnacentral:rRNA from 1 species